GGGUGUCACAGAGCCUGCCGCUCUGUCAGACUCACCUUUGUCUUCUCUGUGAGAAGGACCAGGCUCCUGAUUUUUGGCUGAUUUUUCAGUCAAGCCCAGAUGGAAAAUUUUAGAAAGGGAGGAGGCUUCAUUUGGAUUUUUAAUUUCUGCUGCAAUCUCAGAAUCCUGGGUCCCUUUUGGGACCUAAGCCCCAUCUCCUGGCAGGAUUUUCUAUCACCGGAAUACGGUAGAUUUUUCCCUCCUUUUUUUUUUUUUUUUUUUUCCCAGCACCUUAACUCUCAGCUUCCCAGACUUUCUCCAAUGACAGAGCUGGGUGGGUGGAGGAGGAGAGGGGUUGCAAGAAAGCUUGCCGGCUGGGGUGAGGAGACUGUGUGUGGAGCAGGCGUGAGCGUGGGCCGCGUGGGAGAGAAUGCGAGGCUGCCGUCAAGCCCAGCGUCCACACGAGGAGGCCUGCGAUGGCGUCUGAGGGAGCAAGGGAAAGGCGAGGGCCGGAGCCCAAGAGGAAGCCUCAGAGAGGACCAGGAACCAGGACACACCUCAGCCAUCCUGUGAGGGGCAGCCCAGUGGAGACUUCCAGCCGCCCUGGAGGUCCUUGCACCGAAGACACUUCACCUACCCCAGGGAGAGAAGCAGAAAGGCACUUCGCCACUGUCUCCAUCAGUGCUGUUGAACUCAAAUACUGCCAUGAGUGGAGGCCAGCAGGGCAGCGUGUCCCUAGCAAGACAGCGACUGGGCAACGCACCUGUGCCAAACCCUGCCAGAAGCCCAGCACGUCCAAGGUGAUCCUGAGGGCUGUGGCGGACAAGGGGACCUGCAAGUAUGUGUCCCUGGCCACCCUGAAGAAGGCUGUUUCCACCACGGGCUACGACAUGGCCCGAAAUGCCUAUCACUUCAAGUGUGUGUUCAAGGGGCUGGUGGACAAGGGCUCAGCAGGUGACCAGCAGGGGGGCCUCAGGCUCCUUCACCCUGGGCAAGAAGCAGGCCUCCAAGUCCAAGCUCAAGGUCAAGAGGCAACGACAGCAGAGGUGGCGCUCUGGGCAGCGCCCCUUUGGACAGCACAGGUCACUACUGGGCUCCAAACAGGGGCACAAGCGGCUUAUCAAGGGGGUUCGAAGGGUGGCCAAGUGCCACUGCAAUUAAUGAGGCAGGCCAGGCAAGCAGUCAGGGGUGCCAAGACCGCCAUUGGCUCAGUGCAGUGGGAAUAAAAGGAACCUAACUUAUUUCA
rnacentral:sRNA from 1 species